CCCUUAGAUGUUCUGGGCUGCACGCGCGCUACACUGAUGCAUUCAACGAGUUUACCUUGGCCGAGAGGCCUGGGCAAUCUUUUAAACCUGCAUCGUGAUAGGGAUAGAUUAUUGCAAUUAUUAAUCUUGAACGAGGAAUUCCUAGUAAACGCAGGUCAUCAGCCUGCAUUGAUUACGUCCCUGCCCUUUGUACACACCGCCCGUCGCUCCUACCGAUUGGGUGCUCCGGUGAAUUGUUUGGACUGCGUAUUACGUAUCAGUGGUGUGCGGGAAGCUCUGUGAACCUUAGCACCUAGAGGAAGGAGAAGUCGUAACA
rnacentral:rRNA from 1 species